UACAGAGGGUGCAAGCGUUGCUCGGAUUUACUGGGCGUAAAGCGUACGCAGACGGUAAGGAAGGUCGAAUGUGAAAGCCCCGGGCUCAACCCGGGAGAUGCAUCCGAAACCCCCUUGCUAGAGUAUGAGAGAGGGAAGCGGAAUUCCUGGUGUAGAGGUGAAAUUCGUAGAUAUCAGGAGGAACAUCGGCGGCGAAGGCGGCUUCCUGGCUCAUUACUGACGUUCAGGUACGAAAGCGUGGGUAGCAAACAGG
rnacentral:rRNA from 1 species